rnacentral:rRNA from 1 species
AUACGGAGGGUGCAAGCGUUAAUCGGAAUUACUGGGCGUAAAGCGUGCGUAGGUGGUUUGUUAAGUCAGAUGUGAAAGCCCCGGGCUCAACCUGGGAACUGCAUUUGAAACUGGCAUACUAGAGUAUAAGAGAGGAAAGUGGAAUUUCAGGUGUAGCGGUGAAAUGCGUAGAUAUCUGAAGGAACAUCAAUGGCGAAGGCAGCUUUCUGGACUAAUACUGACACUGAGGUACGAAAGCGUGGGUAGCAAACAGAAUUAGAAACCCUAGUAGUCC